UUGACAUUUUCUUAGAAAGUGUACCAUUUUGCAUUGCUGUCAGCAAUGAGUGAGAGUUCCUGUUGCUCCACAUCCUUCCAGCAUUUGAUAUUGUCAAUGUUUUGGAUUUUGGCCAAUAUGUAGUCCUAUCUCAUUGGUGUCUUAAUUUUCAAUUCCCUAAUGACAUAUGAUGUUGAAUAUUUUUCAUAUGCUUAUUUGCAAAUUGUACAUCUUCUUAGGUAAGACAUCCAUUGAAUCUUUUGCUCAUUUUGUUUCUUAUUGUUAAAGUUUUAAGAAUUCUUUGUAUCUUUUAUAUACCAGCAAAGAAUU